CUUUAAUGUUAGCUUUAUUAAUGCUCUUUGCAAUUUUAUUGUGGGUUUUUUUAUUAGAGCUGGGCGAUAUCAAAAUUUGUCCAAUGAUAUAUCGCUCAAAGUGACAUAUCAUGAUAUUACUAUUUAUCACUUGAGUACAUGUACAUGUACACGUUGAAUUAUUAUCAUAUUAAAUUUUUAGCAAAAACUAUCAAAGAUUUUUAGCCAAAAAUACCAUUGUAUUAACUUUGUCUGGUUUUAAACAAGUUCGUCUUGAAGACAUGAGAUUGCCAGAUGUACUGAAAACUCUCUCGGAGGGAGAGCUGGUUGCACAGCAACAUAAAUACUUCCUUGCUAAUGUGCUUAAUGCCGGGAAAGUUUUGUUGUAAGACUUCCACCACUCUAAUGGAUUUAACUCUGAAUCUAGUAGAGGAUAUUGAAUGUAUCUAUCUAUUUAAUUUUGGAUCUUCUCUUCGAGGGUUAAGGAAGUUUGGUUUAAAGUGUAAGUGCAGUGAUUUUUUAGGGUAUUUAGAGUUUCUUAGGCAAAAGUGGAUCAGUGGAAGAGGAAGUUGAAGUGGUAGUAGCCACAUCUUCAGUGUCAUCUGGUUUCUCAGGUAUUUUCUUGAUAUUCACCUUGUCUGAUUCAGCUACAUGUAUAUACAUGUAUUCCAUUUUAAAUCUUUAAUCGAGAUAUGAUGCUGAGUUAAGAAAUAGAAGGGUAUCUUAAUCACUGUACUUGCUUUCAAAGUAAGAUUUCACUGCUCUUUUAAAAUCUUUGGUAAGUUGUGUGUCGGAUUCUUUUUGUAGAAGUGUGUCGGAGUACAAAUGAUGAAGUAGUGGAACUACAGCAGAUAUGGUCACGUGCUUUUCACCAGAUGGAAUGUCAGUAAAAGCAUAUAGUGGACCUAGGGCAGACCUCAUGGACUCCAGAAAUUUUAUAUCUUGCCAUGAUGGGAUGAGAUGAACAGAUUUGCGGUCAGUACUACAUGUGUAAGUACUUUUCGAAUAGUGCUUUCCUGUUCAAGUAUGCGCUCUAUUAUCUUGACUUUUGAGCCCAUCUGGUUGGACAAUCCUAAAUAAUAGUGUAAUAACAUGAAUGAACCAUUACAUGAUUAUAUCCUUACUGUGAUAAGAGAGUGCUUGGGUAGUUUUAGCUCCCCUUGCAUUAUUGCUACAUCUCUUCUUUUGUUCCAACUGUGAGAAAAAUAAGAUACUAUCUUGUUGCAUAUACCAACUACCUUUGUAACACGAUCAUCACCUUUCACAGAGUUGGUUACAGCGAGGUGGAGAUUAUGGCCAAAACAUGAUAUUCGAUUCCAACCCAAAAUGUCAGAAGCUAAUAUCAUAUUGGAUCCAUUAUCUGUAGUAAUACAGACUAAGCUACUGUUAUUGAGUUCCCAUUGCUGCAUUGCCUGUGUUAACGCUUCUGAGAUGUUAGACCCAGUGUGAUCCUCUCGCUUGAACAUAGUCUGAAGACAUCUAGACUUGUGCUCCCAUUCUUCAUUGAUGAAGUGUACUGUGAGACUGAUAGAGGGUUCCAUAGUAUAGCUACUCCAAAGGUCAGUUGUAGCAGCAUAAUUAUAUAUGUGUUUGAAUUGAGAGGCAACAGAAUUAAUGUCAAACACGCGAGUAUAACUGAGGAAUUGCUGUCUGUGUAAAGUAUUUUCGCCCUGGUAAGUCAUACUUGGAGUCAAGAACUUCCAUCAUGUGUCUAAAGCCAUCUUUCUCAACUGAAUAGACAGGUAACAUGUCCUUAGCUAAGUAGUAUGUGACAGCAUUAGACUAACAGCUUGCCAUCUUUUACUAUUACAUGGAUAUUUGUAAAGUUUAGAUUUAGUUGCUUGCUUGAUGACUGGUGACUAUUGGAAGUCUUGGUCUUACCCUCAUUAACUUUAACAAACUCUUUGGGGUGAUGAUAUCGAAGCUUAUAGGUUUGCUAACUUUCUUCUCCCAGCAUAUUUGGCACUUGGGAUUUUCUUGAUCUUUUCCAGCAUCCUUCACAAACCCAAAUUUUCCAGUAUCCUUCACAAACCCAAAGUAGAUCCAUAUUUGUGAUUUGGUAUUACUUUUAGACACUAGUUCUUGUUGUUGCUCUUCAAUUUCCAGCUGUUCACUUGCUUUUUUUAGCCAUUUUGUUUUUGUGUGACCAUUAGUGAUGUGCGAUUCCGAUACCAAAAUUCUCGAUUCUUCGAUUCCUAGGCAGUAUCAAAUUGGUAUCAAAGAUUUCCAGUACCGAAAAUAUCGAUUCUGAGUACAACCACACCCACUUAACUACAAUAAUGUUUAAUAAACUACUAGUUAAUUACAAACUAAAAAUGUAAAAAUAAUUUUUAUUGUUAAAA